CAGCAGUACUCAAUUAAAAGCAGUUGACUAGGGGCUGGGACUAGGGCCUAGUGGCAAGAGUGCUUGCCUCGUAUAAAUGAAGCCCUGGGUUUGAUUCCCCAGUACCACAUAUAUAGAAAACAGCCAGAAGUGGAGCUGU